rnacentral:rRNA from 1 species
UACGAGUGCUCCAAGCGUUAUCCGGAAUCAUUGGGCGUAAAGGGUGUGUAGGUGGUUUUCUUAGUCUUCUGUGAAAUUCUUCGGCUCAACCGGGGGGCUCGCAGGGGAAACGGGAAAACUUGAGGAUGUGAGAGGUGAAUGGAACUCUAGGUGUAGGGGUGAAAUCCGGUUGAUAUCUAGGGGAACACCAAAAGCGAAGGCAAUUCACU